rnacentral:rRNA from 1 species
CCUACGGGUGGCAGCAGUGGGGGAUAUUGCACAAUGGGGGAAACCCUGCUGCAGCGACGCCGCGUGUGGGAAGACGGUCCUCUGGAUUGUAAACCACUGUCCCCAGGGACGAAGAUGACGGUACCUGACCACGAAGCCCCGGCUAACUACGUCCCAGCAGCCGCGGUAAUACGUCGGGGGCAAGCGUUAUCCGGAUUUACUGGGUGUAAAGGGGGCGCAGACGGCAAUGCAAGCCAGGAGUGAAAGCCCGGGGCCCAACCCCGGGACUGCUCUUGGAACUGCAUGGAUGGAGUACAGGAGGGGCAGGCGGAAUUCCUAGUGUAGCGGUGAAAUGCGUAGAUAUUAGGAGGAACACCGGUGGCGAAGGCGGCCUGCUGGACUGUGACUGACGUUGAGGCCCGAAGGCGUGGGUAGCAAACAGGAUUAGAUACCCUUGUAGUC